GGACGCCGUCAGCCGCGCCGCAUGCCGGGAGCCGUAUUCUCUGGGGCCCGCCCCUGGGGUUGUCGUGUGCCCCCCUCUCCCGGCCUCGUGGUUGGCCGCGGUUACAGCCUUUUUGCUCCGCGGCGCCGGCGCCGCCCCUUGGCAGAGACCAAGCCUGGCAGCCGAAGCCCCGCAGGCGAAGGCGAGGGGGCGCUGAGGGCGGGCGUGACGGUGGAAACGGGGGCGGUCCUUGGACUGCACCUGCAGCCCCGCCCUCCUGUAAACAGAGUGGCAGCGCCUGGAGGCGAGGACGGCUCAUUUGCUUGUUAAAUGCCCCAGAGCAGUGUCAGGUGUAAUGGCCAAUAAUGCCUUGCUGGAGCCAGCCUAGCAAUAACUCCAGAAGGUUGAUUUUCAUCACUGGCCAGGGGGACUAGCUCCUCUGAUUGGCUGCCUUCCCUACGUACCUGUCUUCUGUGGAGGAGCAGCCACUCACAAUAAUACCCAGCUCUUGCAUAUUCAUCAGAAAGUGCUCAAAGUUCUUUGCAAAGGAGAACUGCUGCAGGGGAAGAUAGUACUGGUGCCCCCGCUCUGGGAGAAGAGAAGAGCUGUGGCUGGGGAGAGGGAGCAGCUCAUAACAUUUUCACAGCAAAGGAAGAGGAAGCAGAAAUUUUCCAGCAGUUCAAGGUAACAAGCCUUGUGGAUGGGGAGAAGCAGUAGAUAUGAUAU